rnacentral:rRNA from 1 species
GAGCACGUAGGUGGGUUUGUAAGUCAGACGUGAGAGCCUUCUGUUCAACGGAAGAAUUGCAUCUGAAACUACAAACCUUGAGUGUAGGAGGGGAGAAUGGAACUUCUGGUGGAGCGGUGAAAUGCGUAGAUAUCAGAAGGAACGCCGGCGGCGAAAGCGGUUCUCUGGCCUAUUACUGACACUCAGUGUGCGAAAGCUAGGGGAGCAAACGGGAUUAGAUACCCCGGUAGUCCUAGCCGUAAACGAUGGGCACUAAGUAGAGGGAAUUACCGAUGUUCUCUCUGCCGUAGCUAACGCAUUAAGUGCCCCGCCUGGGGAGUACGGCCGCAAGGCUAAAACUCAAAAGAAUUGACGGAGGCUCGCACAAGCGGUGGAGCAUGUGGCUUAAUUCGAUGCAACGCGAAAAACCUUACCGGGGCUUGACAUGGUAGAAGUAGGAACCCGAAAGGGUAACGAACGGUAUCCAGUCCGUGACUAUCACAGGUGUUGCAUGGCUGUCGUCAGCUCGUGUCGUGAGACGUUGGGUUAAGUCCCCUAACGAGCGAAACCCUUGUUUUUAGUUGCCAGCGGGUUGUGCCGGGCACUCUAGAAAGACUGCCGUCGUCAAGACGGAGGAAGGUGGGGAUGACGUCAAGUCAUCAUGGCCCUUAUGCCCCGGGCUGCACACGUGCUACAAUGGCCGGUACAAACGGAAGCGAAGCCGAGAGGUGAAGCGAAUCC